CAAUGUUUUGCUCACGGCAGUACGUGUUGGUUAACUAUGUAGUGUUAACACCUGUAUUCAAGAUGUCGACCUCUUUACAGAUUCAUUGUUUGACCCGAAUGUACCAUGAGAGGGAGGUUUCAAGGCAUGUUUAAGAGAUGUCAUCCAGUCAGCAACAUGUACUUCUGAUCCAGGUUUGUAGAAAGACCCAGAGUCUCCGACGAUGUCACAAUAAUCGCUGGAGUUCAAGAUAGUGCUGCAGUCCAGGCAAGCCGCUGUUACUGAGUAAUAUGUUUGCGCCAUGUUCAACUCGACAGGUAUACCAACAUGAAAAAUGUAAAAUACAGAAAGCUAAACAGAAUAAAGUCUCAUUUACCUCACGAGA